rnacentral:lncRNA from 1 species
ACGAGCUGCGGCGUGCGUGGCUGGAGCGAAUCGGUAUCCCGCCAUCAGACACGCGAACCUACAUAUAUGUGUGUGGACGGCAUUUUGCCAUCAGUGCUCAUAUGCUUAACCCAGAUCUGGUGGACAAAUCGGACUUCGCUUGUAGGUGGCGGCUGCGGCCAGAUGCGGUGCCAACGCUGUUUCUUCCCGCCGAUUCAGCUCCAUUGCAGCAGUACAGCUGUCGUUGUGCGAGGGGCACAAUGUUUACACAGACCACUCCUUCUCAGCGCACUGUUGGUGAACAGACCUCAACAAUGGCUAUGCAUAGGGAUGCUGGCACGCAGAUGGGUCAUCACGUCACGACGGCAACGCAGACCACAGCAUCUUUUUCCCAGCCAUGACCAACGCAGAACAGCGAUCAGAACAUUGCUUUUCUAAUGUAUUUUGCAGGUGGUCCUCCGGUGACCUACGUGUAGGAUGAGCAUCAGCCCAGCCAAGUUUAUUCCAAGGUGCAAGGUACUGGUAAAAGGUGGAUACAAUCUGGGUGGCUCAGCUUACCCCUUGCUGCAUCGACUCCUGACACUAUACAAGGCUACAACGAAAGGGCACGAUGCAAAUACAUCUACAGUUGUCUUCACAGCCUGCAGAGGGGGAUAAUUGAGGGCACCUUUGGACUGCUGAGAAACCUGUUCUGACGCCUCUUCAAUGCAGCAUCCAUAAAGAAGACAAUAAUCAUCGGAGCAUGUGUUCUUCUGCACGUGUGCGUUUGCUUCAAUGAUUAGGAUAGUGAUGGAUGAACUAUCGACAUUGUCCAUAGAUACUGUGUCGUGUGCUGAUGACAGUGGCGUUGAGCCCAGGCCAAGCAGAUUGAGAGAUUGUAUUGUGAGAAUGCAGUA